rnacentral:lncRNA from 1 species
UACAAUCAUUUGAUUUUUAUUUAUCUUUAUUAAAAAAUAAUUAUUUUUUAUCCUUUUAAUUAAAAACUCAUUUUCUUAUCACCUAAGUCACCUAAUAGGGCAUUUGUGACUUUUUAAUAAAAUGAAAAUCCUAGUUGGCCCAUUAUAUAUUGUUUCAUUGGCCCAUUAUAAGCCAACCACAAAUCUAAAAAAAUGGUGCAU